AGUUAAGUAGUCUAGUGGCUAGAGCUUACAUAUUUUAAAUGUAAAGAACUGGAGUGUCCGAGGUUCGAACCUCAGUCUCUGCAUAUAAUAUGCAAUAUCCAGACCAAUUGAGUUAAACUCACGGGGAUAGCAACACACAUUUUAACAUAUAUUUUCCAACACUCUCUUUGAUUUGUUAAAAUUCACACGUGUCCCACUAAAUAAUGUGGAUUUCAUAUAAAUGUGUGAUGAAAGACGUGUGUUAAAAUGUGUGUUGCUAAAAUUUCUCUACUAAGAUAUUUAUGUACAUCAUUCGAUCAAACAAACAAUGUGGUGUUUCCGUGAAUUUAAUUCAGUUGUUAACGACAAUGUAUAACAUAUACAAGGUUUGAAGUUCGAACCUAUGCCUAUUUAUUUUCUUUAAAACAAAAAGUCUCCUAUUUAUUUAUUUAUAGUAAGAGAAAAAAGCUUAGAUUUGUAUGUAUGACACAUGUCUUUCAAACUAGAAAAACUUCUUUUUCAAGCUUCUCAUUGUCUUAGAAUUCGAUCUUUGAUGGCUUCUUAGACAAAGUUGUAUUUGUUGUAAACUUCUCUUGCACGCUUCUAAUAUGGUAAUUCCUUUGAAUAAGAAUGAUUUGAUCUCUCAAGACCAAGAAAAAUAGCUUCUUUUGAGCACUGCUUUGAUAGUCUUCAAGGAUAUACUUUGGGUGUGUGUCAAAUUAAACCAUCACCCUUGCUUCGAGUAUGAGCUUUCGAUGCAUUUUCAAAAUAUUCUUUGUUUGACUUGUCAAUUGACUCAAUUAAAUGUGGAGAACUGGGGUGUCUGAGUUUCG
rnacentral:lncRNA from 1 species